AAAUUGAAGAGUUUGAUCAUGGCUCAGAUUGAACGCUGGCGGCAGGCCUAACACAUGCAAGUCGAACGGUAACAGGAAGCAGCUUGCUGCUUCGCUGACGAGUGGCGGACGGGUGAGUAAUGUCUGGGAAACUGCCUGAUGGAGGGGGAUAACUACUGGAAACGGUGGCUAAUACCGCAUAACGUCGCAAGACCAAAGAGGGGGACCUUCGGGCCUCUUGCCAUCAGAUGUGCCCAGAUGGGAUUAGCUAGUUGGUGAGGUAACGGCUCACCAAGGCGACGAUCCCUAGCUGGUCUGAGAGGAUGACCAGCCACACUGGAACUGAGACACGGUCCAGACUCCUACGGGAGGCAGCAGUGGGGAAUAUUGCACAAUGGGCGCAAGCCUGAUGCAGCCAUGCCGCGUGUAUGAAGAAGGCCUUCGGGUUGUAAAGUACUUUCAGCGGGGAGGAAGGUGUUGUGGUUAAUAACCACA
rnacentral:rRNA from 1 species